rnacentral:rRNA from 1 species
GAUGAACGCUGGCGGCGUGCCUAAUACAUGCAGGUCGAGCGAAAAGACGAGAGUGCUUGCACGCUAUGGCGUGAGAGGCGGGCGGGUGAGAAACACGCGGGGAACCUAACUAUAAGACGGGGAAAAAUGCGGGAAAACGGAGGUAAUAACGGAAAAUAAUUAGCUUGGCAAGACGCGAGAGUGAAAGACGGUUCGGGUGUGAAUGAGAGAUGGACCCGCGGUGUAUUAGCUAGUUGGUGGGGUAACGGCUCACCAAGGCAACGAUACGUAGCCGACCUGAGAGGGUGAUCGGCCACACUGGAACUGAGACACGGCCCAGACUCCUACGGGAGGCAGCAGUGGGGAAUCUUCCGCAAUGGACGCAAGUCUGACCCAGCCAUGCCGCGUGAGUGAAGAAGGUUUUCGGAUCGUAAAGCUCUUUUGUUAGGGAAGAACAGGUACGUGUUUAACUGCACGUACCUUGACGGUACCUUACCAGAAAGCCACGGCUAACUACGUG